AGUUGGUGGAGUGAUUUGUCUGCUUAAUUGCGAUAACGAACGAGACCUUAACCUACUAAAUAGGGUUGCUGGCACUUGCUGGUUGACUCUUCUUAGAGGGACUAUCGGUUUCAAGCCGAUGGAAGUUUGAGGCAAUAACAGGUCUGUGAUGCCCUUAGACGUUCUGGGCCGCACGCGCGCUACACUGACGGAGCCAACGAGUACAACCUUGGCCGAGAGGUCUGGGUAAUCUUGUGAAACUCCGUCGUGCUGGGGAUAGAGCAUUGUAAUUAUUGCUCUUCAACGAGGAAUUCCUAGUAAGCGCAAGUCAUCAGCUUGCGUUGAUUACGUCCCUGCCCUUUGUACACACCGCCCGUCGCUAGUACCGAUUGAAUGGCUUAGUGAGGCCUCAGGAUUUGCUUAGAGAAGGGGGCAACUCCAUCUCAGAGCGAAGAAUCUGGUCAAACUUGGUCAUUUAGAGGAACUAAAAGUCGUAACAAGGUUUCCGUAGGUGAACCUGCGGAAGGAUCAUUA
rnacentral:rRNA from 1 species